AUUGAACGCUGGCGGCAGGCUUAACACAUGCAAGUCGAACGAGUGGCGGACGGGUGAGUAAUGCUUGGGCAUCUAGCUCAUGGAGGGGGAUAACUACGGGAAACUGUAGCUUAUACCGCGUACCAUAGGAAGAGCCCAUGUGGGAUGAGGUAGUUGGUGAGGUAUAGGCUCACAAGGCCGACGAUGUCUAGCUGGUCUGAGAGGAGGACCAGCCACACGGGGACUGGGACACGGCCCAGCUUCCUACGGAGGGCAGCAGUGGGGAAUAUUGCGCAAUGGGGGCAACCUGACGCAGCCAUGCCGCGUGAAUGAAGAAGGCCUUCGGGUUGUAAAGUUCUUUCGGUAGCGAGGCGUUAACUACAGAAGAAGCAACGGCUAACUCCGUGCCAGCAGCCGCGGUAAUUC
rnacentral:rRNA from 1 species